GUUUCCCUACGGGACGCAGCAGUAGGGAAUCUUCCACAAUGGGCGAAAGCCUGAUGGAGCAACGCCGCGUGGGUGGAGAAGGUCUUCGGAUCGUAAAACCCUGUUGUUAGAGAAGAAAGUGCGUGAGAGUAACUGUUCACGUUUCGACGGUAUCUAACCAGAAAGCCACAGCUAACUACGUGCCAGCAGCCGCGGUAAUACGUAGGUGGCAAGCGUAAUCCGGAUUUAUUGGGCGUAAAGGGAACGCAGGCGGUCUUUUAAGUCUGAUGUGAAAGCCUUCGGCUUAACCGGAGUACGUCAUUGGA
rnacentral:rRNA from 1 species